rnacentral:lncRNA from 10 species
CAUGGUGAAACCCUGUCUCUACUAAAAAUACAAAAAUUAGCUGGGCAUAGUGGCAUGCGCCUGUGGUCCCAGCUACUCAGGAGGCUGAGACAAGAGAGUUGCUUGAACCCGGCAGGCGGAGGUUGCAGUGAGCCAAGAUGGCGCCACUGCACUUCAGCCUCGGUGAAAGAGUGAUACUCCAUCUCAAAGAAAAAAAAAAAAAAAAGAAAAUGUUGUAGGCUGUUCUUUUCUUUAUCAGUUCUGAAAACUUAUAGCUUGGAAUGGCAAUGCUCAUAAUUAUAGUGUUAAUUGGACUUAAACUUUUGUACAGUUGUCAAAAGCAAAGUCAAAAUAGUUUCAGAAUUUUGAGGAAAGAAGUAUACUGCAUUGUUUUAUAGACCUAUGUCCUCUUCUGCACUGGUUUUCCAAAUGCAGGUGUGCCUUGGUUUAUACAGUGGAUAUGAUUCUGAAAAAGCUAUAUAUCAAAAUUAAAUCAUAUUUAAAAACUUGCUACUUUUUAAUGAUUCAAAUUUGUGUUAUAACACUCUCACACUGGAAUUUUCUCUUUCUUGCCCUUCCUUCCUCCCUCCCUCCCUUUAUUCUCUUUCUUCCCUUUACUUUUCUUCUGUCUUUCUUUUUUCUUUUUCUUAGGUGGGAUCUCACUCUGUCACCCAGGUGGGAAUGCAGUGGCACCAUUUCAGCUCACUGCAACCUCCGCCUCCCGGGCUCAAGGCAUCCUCCCACCUCAGCCUCCUGAGUAGCUGGGACCACAGGUGCAUGCCACCACGCCCAACUAAUUUUUUGCAUUUUUUAGUAGAGAUGGGGUCUCGCCAUGUUACCCAGGCUGGUCUCGAACUCCUGAGCUCAAGUGAUCUGCCUGUUUAGGCCUUCUAAAGUGCCGGGAUUACAGGCGUAAGCCAUUGCACCUGGCCUCACACUGGAAUUUUCUACGCACCUGAUGAGGUAUGCUUGUGGCAGUGGUUCUCAAAGUGGGGUCCUGGAACCAGCAGCAUCAGCAGCACUUUGUUAAAUAUGCAGAUUCUCAGGUCCCACCUCAGACUUAAUCAGAAACACUGAGGGUGGGGACUAAUAAUUUUUACCCUCCAGGUACUUUUAUUCAUGGUAGUGUUUGAGAAUCACUGCUUGAUGAGAUAUAGAAAUAAAAACUUGUUAUGGAUGGUGGCUGUUUUGUAGACAAGAUAAAGACAUAUGCACAAAUGACAGUAAUAACUAAUAAAAGUGACAUUUGCCAUAAGAUGGUCAUAAAGUGCAAUUGGAAUUUGGGGGAGAUGUGAUUACUUCAUUAUGAACAUGAUAUCCUCAUUCAUUCAUUCAUUCAUUCAUUCAUUCAUUCAUUGAGGCAUUCUAGGUCCUAAGACUAAGUAAGGCACAGUCUUUGACUUAACAAGCUGAAGUGACAUAAUAGGUGGUUCUCCUUGCUAAUUACCACAUGGCUAGAUUACACAAUCCAAUGAUCUCCACACUUAAAAGUGCAUUUGAAUCACUUGGCAGGCUUAUUAAAACACAAAUUGUCAAACCCCAUGCCCAGAGUUUCUGGUUCGGUAAGUAGGUGGGUGCCAAAAAUUAGUAUUUCCAAAAAUUUUUCAGGAGAUAACUGAUGCCACUUGUCCAGGGUUUGCAAUUUGAGAAUCACUGAUAUAGUCAGUAAUUUAAAGACAGUAGUACUAAUGCCCAGAAAUAUGACUUUGUUUAACAAAGCUGGCCUAAGCUAGAAAUGAAACCAGAUUCCCAGUUCAACAUAACCUCUACUGCAGCCUGCCUUUGUGACCCCUGAAAGAGGAUGCCUGUUUGAUCUCACAGGGAUUCUAACACUUACAGGACAGUAAAGAAUGGAUGACUUUAUGAUACUUCAUCUGUCUCAUUUUUAUGUUGUAUUUUAAUUUCUUAUUCCAAAAUCAGCCAUGUUUCUGACAUCUACAAUGCAACUGUGAACCAUCAAGCUCUCCAUUCUGUGUAGGGAGAUCUGAUCUGUACAUAAAAGUAACAUUUGAAUUACAAUAUCACCUUGAAAAGAGUAAUAUAUAAUAUAUUUUAUUAUCUUCCUGAUAAUAGGAGGUUUUGAGGACAAAGAUCCUCAAUUACAAAAUAUUUCUCCCUUGUACCUCUCUGUUAGAUGACUGUGAAACUAACAAAAGACCAUGUUUGUUGAGAGAAAGGCAUAAAAAUAUGUACUGGGAGACAAAUCAGUGGAGAUAAUAGGCUGUGGGUUCUUUGCUGAUAAUUCACUCUAUUUCAAAAGUAUGUGUGGUUUAUCCAUAAAUCCAUGAUUAAGUUCUCUAAUUCUGUAAUUUGGAGAAAAUAUAUUAAUCUUUUUUGAAUGGAGAUAAAGAUAGAUUCCCCCAAAUUUAAUUAAUCUAUUUUGCAUCCUUGAAUGAUUACAUGAAAACUCAGACCCCUCAGCAUAAAUUAUGUAAUUGAAUUUCAAAUGAUAAUGUGGAAAAAUUGGGCAUGGAUGAAAAUAAUAUAUUCCCAAUUGUAUAAUGACUUUCUUUGACCAUUUAAAAAUAUUUUAAUUGCUUUUAUUUUAAAUCAAGUAUUUUAAGGAAACUAUUUUGAUGAUUUGAAGGUGAGCACUGAGAAGGACUAGAAAUGAGGAAGAGAAGUAGGGGCCUGAUGGUAUUUUAGUCUCAACAGAUGAAUUCUGGUGGAUAUUGGAUGGUUGGUUUGCUUAAUCCUGUAGUGAUUAAUGGCCUAUCAAGGGAUGAGAACAUAUUUUACACACUUAUUUCCUAAAUAUAUGUGCUAAAUUCCUACCAUGGAAUCAAUGCUAUUACAUAAAGGAUAGGGAAAAUCUCUCUGUGUUUAGGUUUCUCCUCUCCCCUGCGGUUAAUCUCCCCUUUCUCCCAUUUUGUCAAAUAGGGUAUAAAAAAUGUUAAGACUUCAACGCAGUUAAAUCUUAGGCACUUUCACUUGUCACAGUCAUCACCCAGUCUCCCAAAUUAAAGAGCAGCUGUUCAGAUUCUCUUGGGUAGGACAUGAUGAGUCUUAUUUCCUACUUCCUGUGGAGCUCAGUUUAAACUAUUUCUGAUCCUCUAGAACUUGAGGUAAUCAUCUACUCUGUAAAAGAAGACAAAAACUCAAUAUUACUUUCUUGAGUAAUUUGGAUGGCCAUUUAUUGCUUUCAUCCUGAGAACAACUGGUUUAUUUUGCCUCCAAAUAUAGCAUUCUUAGAGUUGCCUGAAAGAAUUUAUUUCAUAUACCUAUGUUGCAUCGCUAGAAAUAGCAUAAAGUUUCUGCCCCCUGUGAAAUAAAGCCAGAUAAUUGGGUGAUCUCUUUUUUUAAAAAAAGAGUUUUUGUGUUGUCAGUAAUCCGACUUCGGCAGAAAGCUGCUUUCUGAUGCAAUUUAACUCAGUUUUCUGAAAUUGGCUUCUUGGGCUCUAAAAAGAAAAAGAAAAGUGAUGGUUGAGUGAGAGGAAAGAGAGAAUUUUAACUAAGGAUGAACUGGAUCUCUAAUAGGUUUUUUUCCCUUCUAUCUACUUUUCCUGCGAGUAGAGGUUUAGGGGAAAUUUUAGUUUUGAAGUGCCUUUCAGCCCAGAUUUCCUGGCUUUUAAGUAUACAGAGUAAUUUCAUCACUGAAUCCACUUGAUUUCAUUAUUAUGAUGUAAAAAUCAGGGUGGCAGUUGGGGGUUUGGGGGUGGGUGGUGACUCACACCUGUAAUCCCAGCAUUUUGGGAGGCUGAGGUAGGAGGAUCAUUUGAACUCAGGAGUUCAAGACCAACCUGGGCAGCAUAGUGAGACCUCAGUCUCUACUAAAAAUAAAAAAAUAAAAAAAAUAGCCGGGCAUGGUGGCACAUGCCUGUACUUCCAGCUACUGGAGAGGCUGAGGUGGGAAGAUCGCUUGAGCUCAGAAGUUCAAAAUUGCAGUGAGUUAUGAUUGCACUACUGCACUCCAGCUUGGGCAAUAGAGUGAGACCUGUCAAAAAAAAAAAGGAAGAAAGAAAGAAAAGAACAAAAAGUAAAAAGAAAAGAAAAGGAAAGGACUGGGUGUGGUGGCUCAUGCCUGUAAUCUCAACACUUUGGGAGGCCAGGGCAGGUGAUCACUUGAGAUCAGGAGCUUGAGACCAGAUGGCCAACAUAUUGAAACCCUGUCUCUAUUGAAAAUACAAAAAUUAGCUAGGUGUGGUGGCAAGCGCCUGUAAUCCCAGCUACUCAGGAGGCUGAGGCAGGAGAAUCAUGGAACCUGGGAGGUGGAGGUUGAAGUGAGCCAAGAUCACGCCUCUGCACUCCAGCCUGGGCAACAGAGCAAAACUCAGUCUCAAAAAAAAAAAAAAAAAAAAAAGAAAAGAAAAGAAAAGAAAAAACCAGAUGUUCUUAAUAUUAGUGUGUCAGAUUGUUUUACCAUUGUAGCUCAAACUUUAAUAUGCAUGUAAGUCACCCAGAAAUUUUUCUAAAAUGCAGGUCCUGAUUGAAUAGGUUUGAGAUUCUGUAAUUCUAACAUGCUCCAUGAUGUUGCUGAUGGUCUUCACUGGACAUAGUCCUCCCUUUGAAUAUCUCAGAUGUAUACCAUGUAAUUCAUAAGUGAGUUUAUAUGUGAAAGUUUAUUACUGUCUUGUUCCUUACUUCUCUCUCUACUUUUUUUUUUGAUAUACAUGAGACAGCUUCUCAAGAUUAAAUAAUUUCUCUGGAUUUCAAAGGUUUCAUUGUAGAAAAAAAUUAUGAUUAUGGAAAAGAGCUUUAAAAAUAAUUGUUUUCUAAGGUAGAGAAUUUGGACUUAAAAGAAGGUUUUGUUUUCAAUAAUCAAAAGAAACCAAGGUUGAAACCUUAGCAUCUCUUUGAAUUAAAAAGUUUGAAAAUGUGUCUAAUUCCUAAUGAUUCAUUUUGACUACCCUGAAUUCUUCAGUUCUCAUUUCAACAUGAAUGUCAGUGCUUAGAGAAAUUUAGUGUCACUGAAAAUCAGGUCCUAUUUUAUGAAUAUCAAUGAAUAGUUUUAAACCAAAUUUAAUUUUAGAAUGUAUGUUUUGUUUUGUUUUGUUUUGUUUUGUUUUUGAGACAGCGUCUUGCUUUGUCGCCCAGGCUGGAGUGCGGUGGCAUGAUCUCAGCUCACUGCAACCUCCGCCUCUCGGGUUCACGCCAUUCUCCUGCCUCAGCCUCCCGAGUAGCUGGGACUACAGGCGCCCGCCACCACGCCCAGCUAAUUUUUUGUAUUUUUGGUAGAGACAGAGUUUCACCGUGUUAGCCAGGAUGGUCUCGAUCUCCUGACCUCGUGAUCCGCCCGCCUCAGCCUCCCAAAGUGCUGGGAUUACAGGCGUGAGCCACUGCGCCCGGCUAGAAUGUUAUGUUUUAAGAGUCUGGAUACCAAAUAAAUAUGACGUGGUUCAAUGACAGUUGAAUUGUUUCAUACUUUUUAUCUCUCUCUUAAUAAAAUAUACAUUUGGGGAAAUAGGAGUCCAGGAAAUUUGGAGUGCCAGUGAAUGGAUAGCAUAUUCUGCAUCCAAUGUGUAAUUAAAUUGUGGGCCCAAAAGCCUCACAGAUAAGAUUAAGCCUUUUUUUUUUUUUUUUUUUUUUUUUUUUUUUUUUUGAGACAGGGUCUCACUCUGUCGCCCAGGCUGGAGUGCAAUGGUGCAAUCACCAUUCACUUCAGCCUUGACCUUCUGGGCUCAAGCAGUCCUCCCACCCCAGCCCUGCCAGUAGCUGGGACCAUAGGUGCACAUCACCACACCCAGCUAACUUUUGUAUUUUUAGUAGAGAUGGGGUUUCGCCAUGUUGCCCAGGCUGGUCUCUUUCUCUUGGGCUCAAGUGAUCUGCCUGCCGUGGCCCCCCAAGUGCUGGGAUUGCAGGUAUGAGUCACUGCGCCUGGCCUUCUGUUGUAUUUCUGGGUUGAUGCACAGAUAAUUUUAUCUGUCAACUGUACCAAUCAAUUUCAACAACAAUGGUUUAUUUAGCACCUGCUGUGUGCCAGGUUUUAUUUAUAUAUAUAUAUAUAUAUAUAUAUAUAUAUAUAUGUAUAUAUAUAUAUAUAUUUAUGUAAUCUCAUAUAAUCCUUGACAUAAUACUACAUGUAGACAAUGUUUCUUCUUUUUUAUCCCAGAGAAUUUAAAUAAUUUAUGAGGUUGAGCAGAUAAAAAGACACUGAGCUGGUUUGUUUCCUUCCUCCCUCCCUCCCUUCCUUCC